rnacentral:rRNA from 1 species
UACGUAGGGGGCGAGCGUUGUCCGGAGUACUGGGCGUAAAGCGCACGCAGGCGGUCUGUUAAGUUUGGAGUGACAGUUGGUGGCUCAACCACCAAAGUGCUUUGAAAACUGAUAGACUUGAGGGCUUCAGAGGGACACGGAAAUUCCGGGUGGAGUGGUGAAAUGCGUAGAGAUCCGGAGGAACACCAAAGGAGCCGAAAGGCAGUGUCCUGGGGAGUACCUGACGGCUUAGGGUGCGAAAGCCAGGGGAGCGAACGGG